UGAGUGUACUAGGUCAUCGCAAGUAUAAACUCCGCAAGGAUGUACUUGAGGAAAGUCCGGGCAUGGUAGAGCACCCUACUGGGGAAAUCUCAGGCAUGGUACUGGAGACGGUAUUAUGACAGAUAGUGCAGCAGAGAGUAGACUACCGUCAAUUAUGAUAUUGUCAGGCGGUACAGGUGAAAGGGUGGGGUAAAAGCCCACCGCGUGGCUUGGCAACAGGCUGCGGCUGGUAAACCUUAGGGCAUGCAAGGCCAAACGCUGAAUAUAUUCCGUUGCUCGCGGUAUUCAUAGGUAGGCUGCAAGAGAAUACUUGUAAAAGUAUUUUUAGAUGAAUGAUGGCCCACGACAAAACCCGGCUUAUCGGUACAUUAUAAAA
rnacentral:RNase_P_RNA from 1 species